rnacentral:siRNA from 1 species
UAUACCACUUAACAUCCUACUCAA